rnacentral:rRNA from 1 species
UGAGUACGAGAUGCUACGGCAUCGAAGCAGUCUAUGUCAUACUUCCAGGAAAAGCUUGCAAUGUCAUAAACAAAUUAUGCCUGUACCAUAACCGACACAGGUGGGUAGGUAGAGUAUACUAAGGGGCGCGAGAUAACUCUCUCUAAGGAACUCGGCAAAAUGACUCCGUAACUUCGGGAGAAGGAGUGCCUUAUUUUUAUAAGGUUGCAAUAACAAGAUCCAAGCAACUGUUUACCAAAAACACAGGUCUCCGCUAAGUCGUAAGACGAUGUAUGGGGGCUGACGCCUGCCCAGUGCCAGAAGGUUAAAGAAGUUGGUUAGCAUUAGCGAAGCUGAUAACUGAAGCCCUGGUGAACGGCGGCCGUAAUGAUAACGGUCCUAAGGUAGCGAAAUUCCUUGUCGGGUAAGUUCCGACCCGCACGAAAGGCGUAAUGAUUUGGAUACUGUCUCGGAGAGGGGCUCGGUGAAAUAGACUUGUCUGUGAAGAUGCGGACUACCUGCACCUGGACAGAAAGACCCUAUGAAGCUUUACUGUAACUUGAGAUUGAAAUUGGACUUUAUCUGCGCAGUAUAGGUGGGAGACGUUGAAAAUAUUCUUGCGGGAAUAUUGGAGUCAUCAGUGAGAUACCACUCUUAUAAUGUUAGAUUUCUAACUUUGUAUCAUUAUCUGGUCAAAGAACAGUUUCAGGCGGGCAGUUUGACUGGGGCGGUCGCCUCCCAAACGGUAACGGAGCCGCACAAAGGUUUCCUCUGAACGUGUAGAAAUCGUAUCUAGAGUGUAAAGGCAUAAGGAAGCUUGACUGUGAGACCUACAAGUCGAGCAGGGACGAAAGUCGGUCUUAGUGAUCUGACGGUGCUGAGUGGAAAGGCCGUCACUCAACGGAUAAAAGUUACUCUAGGAUAACAGGCUGAUCUCCCCCAAGAGUUCACAUCGACGGGGAGGUUUGGCACCUCGAUGUCGGCUCAUCGCAUCCUGGGGCGGUAGUACGUCCCAAGGGUUGGGCUGUUCGCCCAUGAAAGCGGUACGCGAGCUGGGUUCAGAACGUCGUGAGACAGUUCGGUCCAUAUCCGGUGUAGGCGUUAGAAUAUUGAGAGGAGCCUUCUUUAGUACGAGAGGACCGAGAAGGACAUACCUCUGGUGUACCAGUUAUCGUGCCAACGGUAAACGCUGGGUAGCCAUGUAUGGAGAGGAUAACCGCUGAAAGCAUUUAAGUGGGAAGCCCACCUCAAGAUAAGUAUUCUC